ensembl:lncRNA novel transcript
AAUGGGGUGGCAGAGACUUAGGGUCAGGGCAGACAGAGAGGAAGGUUGUGGAUCUGGGGCUCCCUGUCAGUCUAAGACCCCCUUAAGUAAGUUUCCUAAUGCCAUCAGCUGCUGUGUCCAGAGAGAAAAAUCUCUCAAAGCCUGCAAAAAUGACAAUAAUGACCUGCAUUUGGGGUAGAUUCUUGUCUGUGGCUACUAUUAUUCUGUCAUCAGUACUCUACUAGUUAGGAUGCACAGGAAGUGUCCCCAUUUGACAGAAGACCAGAGAAGCUGCUGUGACAGAGUUGGGUCUAGAACCUUGUUUCCUGCUUUUUACUCUGCUUCUCAUUCACUAGACCCCAUGACCAGUGAGUGCAACCUCACCACAACCAUUGAUGCUGAAUAGGAACCUGCAAAUCCAAUGGCACUGCCAGAAUCAACUGAAUGGCUCUGAGAAGGCAGCCCUCAGAAAUCUGGGAAAUUCUCUCCUAUGGAUGAUCACAGGUUCUGGGAUGCAGAGCAAACAGGGAGCUAAUGGAAGCACUCAGGAUGAUAGAAUUCUAACUUCAUGAAAACAUGUUUGAUUGUGGGUCCCAGUAAAGAUGUCCCAGUUCUCGGCCAGAAUCUUUUCUGAAGACUGAGCUGGAGGAGGUACCCGUUCUGGAAUGGUCUCAAAUGCAACCUGCAGGUUUGGCCCCCUGGAGGAAGUGAGAAGAAUGGAGAUGAACACGUUUCUUGUGUCAUGUCCUCAUUCUGCCCAAGACACACCUACCCGGACCAUGCCGUCUUGACUCCCGGUGAUGAUGAUCUGGCUUGUGUCCCAUGCUGGGCCCUCCAUCAGGCAGCAGCAGGUUAUGGCUCCUUCUGGGCCCCAGGCUGUGGUGAUGCUGGCCAGGGGCUGUCCAUUGACAUUCCACAGGGACAAGUGUGCUCCCGCACAGGAGACAAUGGUGCCCUGUGCAGUGAGAGCUGGCAUCACUCUAAGCUGGAGUCACUGCCUGCCCAUCAGC